rnacentral:rRNA from 1 species
UUGAACGCUGGCGGCAGGCCUAACACAUGCAAGUCGAGCGGUAGCACAGAGAGCUUGCUCUCGGGUGACGAGCGGCGGACGGGUGAGUAAUGUCUGGGAAACUGCCUGAUGGAGGGGGAUAACUACUGGAAACGGUAGCUAAUACCGCAUAAUGUCGCAAGACCAAAGUGGGGGACCUUCGGGCCUCAUGCCAUCAGAUGUGCCCAGAUGGGAUUAGCUAGUAGGUGGGGUAACGGCUCACCUAGGCGACGAUCCCUAGCUGGUCUGAGAGGAUGACCAGCCACACUGGAACUGAGACACGGUCCAGACUCCUACGGGAGGCAGCAGUGGGGAAUAUUGCACAAUGGGCGCAAGCCUGAUGCAGCCAUGCCGCGUGUGUGAAGAAGGCCUUCGGGUUGUAAAGCACUUUCAGCGGGGAGGAAGGCGUUAAGGUUAAUAACCUUGGCGAUUGACGUUACCCGCAGAAGAAGCACCGGCUAACUCCGUGCCAGCAGCCGCGGUAAUACGGAGGGUGCAAGCGUUAAUCGGAAUUACUGGGCGUAAAGCGCACGCAGGCGGUCUGUCAAGUCGGAUGUGAAAUCCCCGGGCUCAACCUGGGAACUGCAUUCGAAACUGGCAGGCUAGAGUCUUGUAGAGGGGGGUAGAAUUCCAGGUGUAGCGGUGAAAUGCGUAGAGAUCUGGAGGAAUACCGGUGGCGAAGGCGGCCCCCUGGACAAAGACUGACGCUCAGGUGCGAAAGCGUGGGGAGCAAACAGGAUUAGAUACCCUGGUAGUCCACGCCGUAAACGAUGUCGAUUUGGAGGUUGUGCCCUUGAGGCGUGGCUUCCGGAGCUAACGCGUUAAAUCGACCGCCUGGGGAGUACGGCCGCAAGGUUAAAACUCAAAUGAAUUGACGGGGGCCCGCACAAGCGGUGGAGCAUGUGGUUUAAUUCGAUGCAACGCGAAGAACCUUACCUGGUCUUGACAUCCACAGAACUUUCCAGAGAUGGAUUGGUGCCUUCUGGAACUGUGAGACAGGUGCUGCAUGGCUGUCGUCAGCUCGUGUUGUGAAAUGUUGGGUUAAGUCCCGCAACGAGCGCAACCCUUAUCCUUUGUUGCCAGCGGUUCGGCCGGGAACUCAAAGGAGACUGCCAGUGAUAAACUGGAGGAAGGUGGGGAUGACGUCAAGUCAUCAUGGCCCUUACGACCAGGGCUACACACGUGCUACAAUGGCAUAUACAAAGAGAAGCGACCUCGCGAGAGCAAGCGGACCUCAUAAAGUAUGUCGUAGUCCGGAUUGGAGUCUGCAACUCGACUCCAUGAAGUCGGAAUCGCUAGUAAUCGUAGAUCAGAAUGCUACGGUGAAUACGUUCCCGGGCCUUGUACACACCGCCCGUCACACCAUGGGAGUGGGUUGCAAAAGAAGUAGGUAGCUUAACCUUCGGGAGGGCGCUUACCACUUUGUGAUUCAUGACUGGGGUG